CGGACUCUAUUGAAACCUAGUGAUUUAUGAGUUAGUGGCGGACGGGUGAGUAACGCGUGGAUAACCUGCCGUAUACCGGGGGAUAAUACUUAGAAAUAGGUGCUAAUACCGCAUAAGCGCACGGCUCCGCAUGGGGCAGUGUGAAAAACUCCGGUGGUAUACGAUGGAUCCGCGUCUGAUUAGCUAGUUGGCGGGGUAACGGCCCACCAAGGCAGCGAUCAGUAGCCGGCCUGAGAGGGUGGACGGCCACAUUGGGACUGAGACACGGCCCAAACUCCUACGGGAGGCAGCAGUGGGGAAUAUUGCACAAUGGGGGAAACCCUGAUGCAGCGACGCCGCGUGAGUGAAGAAGUAUCUCGGUACGUAAAGCUCUAUCAGCAGGGAAGAAAAUGACGGUACCUGACUAAGAAGCCCCGGCUAACUACGUGCCAGCAGCCGCGGUAAUACGUAGGGGGCAAGCGUUAUCCGGAUUUACUGGGUGUAAAGGGAGCGUAGACGGCAGCACAAGUCUGGAGUGAAAUCCCGGGGCUUAACCCCGGAACUGCUUUGGAAACUGUGCGGCUGGAGUGCAGGAGGGGUAAGCGGAAUUCCUAGUGUAGCGGUGAAAUGCGUAGAUAUUAGGAGGAACACCGGUGGCGAAGGCGGCUUACUGGACUGUAACUGACGUUGAGGCUCGAAAGCGUGGGGAGCAAACAGGAUUAGAUACCCUGGUAGUCCACGCCGUUAACGAUGAUUACUAGGUGUCGGGGGACCAAGGUUCUCCGGUGCCGGCGCA
rnacentral:rRNA from 1 species